rnacentral:rRNA from 1 species
GACGAACGCUGGCGGCGUGCUUAACACAUGCAAGUCGAACGAAGUGGCGAACGGGUGAGUAACGCGUAAUCAACCUGCCCUUCAGAGGGGGACAACAGUUGGAAAGGAAUGAUAAUACCGCAUAGUGAAGGAGGGGAUUGCGUCGGAUUAGCUAGGUGGGGGGGGAACGGCCCACCGAGGCGGUGGACAGUAGCCGGGUUGGAUGGAUGAACGGCCAAAUUGGGAACGGGACACGGCCCAAGACUCUACGGGAGGCCACAGGGGGGAAACAUCCGCAAUGGACGAAAGUCUGAAGGAGCAACGCCGGGUGAGUGGUGACGGCCUUCCGGUUGUAAAGCUCUGUUAAUCGGGACGCGGUACCGGAAUAGAAAGCAACGGCUAACUACGUGCCAGCAGCCGCGGUAAUAC